GGCUUAAGAUGCUGGGGGUGGGAUGGGGGAGGUGGGGUGAUUAUAUAGAAGAUUAAAGGGACAGUAGGUAUGGUCUGAUGGAUUUGAAACCUGUGUCAGUACCACAGCUGCAUGACCUAGAAGUCAUGGCUGGAUAGAGCCUCAGUUUCCUCAUUUGCACCAACACUCAUUCUCCCCUCUAGGGAGGGGAGCAAAGAAGAGCCUUUCAGGAUGUGAAGUUGGCGUGUCUUCAAUCCCUGUCUUCUAGAAAGAUCCCAUAGAUGGGAAAUACCAGGAACUUCCAGGUGGCAGCUGGAGCUGGCCAAGGAGUCACUCACAGGGACUCUGCCCCCUUCCUUUUUUCUAUGCCAACUCUGCUUCCCAGUCAAGCGGAAGGAGCCAAGAGAAAAGCCAGCCCUGAAGACAGUGGCUAUCCACUCCGCUGGGACUGAGACAGACGACUUUGGAAUAAUUGGAGUGUCCUUCCCAUAACCUUGAGCUCUGAAGACUUCUGCCCUACUCAUCAGAAAUGGCAGGGUUAAAGUGAUAAAUGACUUCUGUGGAAGAGGUUAUUCUCGUUGUCCUGAAGAAUGCUGCAGAAAAAAUCUACCCACGUAUGUAACCCUUCACAUUUCACAAAUUAUAAAAUGGAGGUUUGGGGGUUUAGAGAGUGGAAAAGGUUGGCCCAAGGUGACCCAGUGACAGGACUAGAACACUGACCUCCAGUGUACAGAUAUUUCCACACCAU
rnacentral:lncRNA from 1 species